rnacentral:rRNA from 1 species
AUACGUAGGGGGCGAGCGUUGUCCGGAUUUACUGGGCGUAAAGGGAGCGUAGGCGGAUCUACAAGACAGUGGUUAAAUCUCCGGGCUCAACCUGGAACUUGCCUUUGUGACUGUGGAUCUUGAGUAUGGUAGAGGUUGGCGGAAUUUCCGGUGUAGCGGUGGAAUGCGUAGAUAUUAGGAGGAACACCAGUAGCGAAGGCGGCUUUCUGGACUGUAACUGACACUGAGGCACGAAAGCGUGGGGAGC